GGAGCAGUGGUUGCGAGAGAGAAAUGUGGGGACUUUUGGUGCUCAAUAUUUCUCGUCGUUUAGGUACUACGGGGAAGAAAACCGUUUGCUCCGUUUGUCCCUAGCCAAGCUUGCAGCACAUAAUCGACAGGAUGCGUGGCCGGCAAGGCGAAAAAGCCGCGUCCGAGAACCUGCAACUUUCGACAAGCCAGCAUUAUUUUGCUUCUUUUUGUGAUAGUUCCUGGCUAUCUGUUGCUGAUGCCACACAUUCACUUUGCAAUGGUUUAUUAGACCUCAUACAUAAAUUAAUAGCUGUAUAAAACCUUGACCCUCCAGCACUUCCACAAAAUUCAUGCAGAAGUGGAAACAAAGAUUACACCUAAUUCCUCACCACACGUUACUAUGUCUGCAUCAAAGCUGGAUAUUACCAACAUGUGUGCAGUGUCGUUGCCCAUGCUUCCAGGACAGGAAAGCCAGUUGCUCCAGUUCACAAGGCUAGAACAACUGCGAAGUGAUUGAGCUAUCUGCUUGUGCUGCAUUUUGUUGCCACAAGCUGUACAAGGUCAUGGCUUGUGCUGUAGAAACCACAUCUUUUUGCCUGCUGAAUUCCUUUGUGAUGCAUUGAACGUGUCUGCUUCCGUUUCCCCUGCUAUUUUUACAGCGAAGCUGUAUAUGGCUAGGUUCUGACCAUGACCAAUAGUGCAUACAUCGACACGGUGUAUAGAAAAAAGUUGCGUUGGCAAAAUUGAAUCCACAGUAGCCUGCUGUGCGCCAGCAGUGCUCAGUGGCUCCGGAGUGGAUGGCAGAAUAAUAAAACGUCAUUGUGUACCCACCAA